AGAGAAGUACCCAAGUGGCUCAAGGGGCGCCCCUGCUAAGGGUGUAGGUCGGGUAACCGGCGCGAGGGUUCGAAUCCCUUCUUCUCUGCCA
rnacentral:tRNA from 3 species